CUUCAGUUUGUGGUGCGCAUGUGAGGAGCUGGGAGCAAGAGGCGCAAGGAGCUGGUGUUAUGUGAAGUGAUUCUUUCGUGGAUGAUCCUUUCUCAAGUGCCAGCAAGACCAAUGACAGUUAAAACAACAGAGAAGUCAGAGAGAUUUGAGUGAUUUUAUUAUCCUCUGAAGGACUUGCUUCCCAGAGGCUGCAACAGGGAAAGUUCUGCUGGAUUUAAACUGUGGUGCCUUACACCUGGUGUAUUUCCAUGAUUUCUUCAUGAUUAGCAGUGUGGCGUGCAGGCCCACUGUGAAGGAUCAGAUGAUCUGUUUUCUUUUCCCUUGAGGUGAACCGCAUUCACUUGUGUAAGAAAGCAAAUCUCCAUAGUCGACCUGAAAAGAAGCCUACUGCUUUGGAGAGGGCUCUAACAGGCAUUGAUAUAAACUCCUGACCCCUGCUAAUAUGAUCCUAUUGCCAUGAAGGCUUUUUUAGACAUUUAUUUAUUAGACAUAUAUUUAUUAUAUAAGUAGGUGAUGCCAGCGUGCUCUGCUGGGUUAGAGCUUGUUGACCUAAAUGAUUAUACUAGAAAGAUUUAUUUUCCUCAAAAUGUAAUUACACUCCUAGUCCAAUGAAAUGAACACAGUGGAAAAUCUCACUCCAUUACUUUCGAUGGACUGAGCCUGUGCUAUCCACACUGUGUAGACAAGGAUUCAAGAGACUGGGAAAUAUUUUCACAGCUUAAUUGUAUCACAACUGAACUGUUAAGUAAUUUCCAUGGCUUAGAAUCUUGCAGUAGCAACGACAUUUGUCUUCUGUAGAACAACAGAUAAACUUUGUGUCCAGGCUGGUAUCUACUCAGACACCUCAUGGUCUGCACAUGUCUAAACAAACUGCUUUGACCAUUGAUUUGUAGAUAUUAAUGCAUCAUUCAUGGCUGUGUAAUGGCUGUCAAGUUACUACAGAUAUGCUACAUAAAUCAGAGGUGGAUUUUGACACCCUGCCUAGAAGUUUAAUACUGUUACCUCACAAAUUCAUUAGACUAUUCCACCAGUUUCCAGGAAAAAAAAUUAGCAAUAGAUGUUGAUCUGUGACCUACAUGUAUGGAUGAACUAUUGGGAAAUGAAGAUAUGUUUUAAAAUGAGCUGUUAAAUUCCAUUUAUUCCUCUGUAAUUUGAAUGAUUAAAAACUAAGUAGACAA